rnacentral:rRNA from 1 species
UACAGAGGUCUCAAGCGUUGUUCGGAUUCAUUGGGCGUAAAGGGUGCGUAGGCGGCGCGGUAAGUCGGGUGUGAAAUCUCGGAGCUUAACUCCGAAACUGCAUUCGAUACUGCCGUGCUUGAGGACGGGAGAGGAGACUGGAAUUUACGGUGUAGCGGUGAAAUGCGUAGAUAUCGUAAGGAAGGCCAGUGGCGAAGGCGGGUCUCUGGACAGUUCCUGACGCUGAGGCACGAAGGUCAGGGGAGCAAACGGG